UACGUAGGGUGCAAGCGUUAAUCGGAAUUACUGGGCGUAAAGCGUGCGCAGGCGGUUUUGUAAGUCUGUCGUGAAAGCCCCGGGCUCAACCUGGGAAUUGCGAUGGAGACUGCAAGGCUUGAAUCUGGCAGAGGGGGGUAGAAUUCCACGUGUAGCAGGUGAAAUGCGUAGAGAUGAUGGAGGAACACCGAUGGCGAAGGCAGCCCCCUGGGUCAAGAUUGACGCUCAUGCACGAAAGCGUGGGGAGCAAACAGG
rnacentral:rRNA from 1 species